CGUAAAGUGGGGAUAAUCCGCAUGAGGAUGCAAAAAUGUAACAGUUAAUGCCGGCAGUAAGCUCUGAAGAUAAGUACCUUGGUCAGGCCCUUGUGGGGAGCUGGAGGUCAACACCAGGCUGCAGCAUGCUGCCACAUGCAGUCUCUCGCCAGGUGACCUGGAGAACAUGCUGCUUGCUUUUCUGCCUCAUCAGGUGGAAGCCUAGCAGAGACUACUCAGAGACCAGGGACUGGGUAGCUGUGUAAAAGCUUUGACUGGAUUCAGACGAAAUGGAUAAUUCCCCUGCCCCGAGUUCCCUUCUUUGGAUUUACUUCUGAGGCUUGUUCAUCCAUGCUAAGACUAGGCUUACCAAGAGCACAGAUCAACGAGACCAAUAUGUUAUGUGAAUCUGGAUGCAGCACACACUUAAACAGUAGCACUUAGGCUUCUGAGGACUUACCUGGUUACUUACUGAAGGUACUCAUCCCUUCCUUUGAUGGGCCCAUACAAAUUAAUGUGCUUGCACAAGACGGGGCCCUGGGACAGCUGUCUCCUGUAGGCAACGGAUGCUAUUCCCAGCAGGAGUGCUAGUGCGGCAUCACUCUCUGAGCAAGACCAGUUCAGCACCCUAUAGGGGCACUACAACGAUUGAAAUGUAAACCAGGAGCGAGAUUCCUGUUCGCUGGCGUCGCAUCUGAUGUUGAUUCCAGUUGAAAUGGUAUCAACUUCUUUUUCUGCUUGGCGUUACCUCUGUAUUACAUAAAAAGGGAGAUCUAAGUCUAAGUUCUUUUCUGUUUUAAAAACUUCCAUGUAUUUUUCAUGCUGAACCACACUUGGUUUCAGUGCUUGUUUACCGGACUCAAAGAAUGCUUAGGUCUGUUUCUUCAUAACUGUUUGUGUUAUUUUGCAUUAUUUUUUCCUACGUUAAAUCUUACUGAAAACAGUUCAAUUAUUCAUUUCAAGAGACUUUGCAAACUAAAAAACCAAAAAAACACCAGCAAAACCACAAACUUCUAUGGAGUAAGCCGUAAGAAAUUUUUUAAUUAAAUAUACUUUAGAUUGCUCUUGACAAAACAAAAGCAAUACCUGCCAAACGCAGGACCAAUGCCUGAAACUUGAAGCUUGAUCUGUUUCUAUUGUUAAACUAAAAAAUACGGUAGGUUUCUGAAGCUUGUGGGGGAAAAUUGUGUCUUUUCAUCAACAACCACUUUUAGCAGCUGUGAUCUGAAAUGGGUGAUCCUGUACUGAUUUUUAUUCCUCUUAUUUUAGCUGUGAAGAAACAAAGAUAUAUGUAGGUUUUAAACAACGGCACGUGGUAGCAUUGUACAAAAGAUAUUAAUUAAGGUAAAAUAAUUGUGGGAGAGAUCAUGCAGGUAUGUAAAAGAAUAAUCCUGGGGAAACAGAAGUCAUUAUGAAUAUUUAUUUAGAUGUAUUGUAUCUACAAAACACAUAGAACCUUAAAAACCACCACACCCAUAAAACCAAAUGAGCAAACGUGAGCUGUAUACAAAGUCACUUAAGGUUGUUGAAGGCCAGCUCCUGCCCCCUUGAAAGAAUGGAAAAAAGAGGAAAGAAUUAUAUAUUCUUCCAUACCGUGGCCGUGCUGACAUUAAUUUGUUUCAGACUUUGGGUUUUUUCAUUCCUUCUCUGAACUCUAUUGCAAUAGUCACUCAAACUUAUGCCAGUUGCCUUCAGCACAGGAACAACUGGCAGUUAGAUAUGCCCCUUGUUGCUGCAGGGGCUUUUUAUACUUUGGGGAAGCUAUUUUGCCUUUAGGCUGAUGAGGACAUUGCUCAGAGGUUAUUCAGCAGCUGAUCUGUGCAAAAGCUCAAAAGUUUGAUUAUUUCACCUCCUUUUGAAGAGAGAUGAUGAAAGUAGUUGAUGGGGAACGUGAGGAGCGGGGAGUGUGCCAGGCUGAAGACGAAGCAAGGGAAUGCUGGCAGUAGCGCCCACAAAGCUUCCUUUUUCUUUUCUUGCUUCAGCCUCUUGAAGGUAGGGCAGAAUUGGGUUGAAAGGUUGUUUGUUUGUAACCUCUGUGCAAUGGGAAGCUCCUCCUGGGCACUGUGACACGGCCUCAUAGCCAGAGCACUUGACCUGAGGUCUUUUAUGUCCACCUAUGACUGAAGCCUUCUGUACUUCUGUAUCAAAGGUGAAGAGGAGAAUCCCAGCGUGCGGGUCUGUUGUAAGCUAUGCUGGUAUAGUGCGGGUAUGCAGUUCCCUCCUAUGAGCCCUGCUUUUGGUCAGCAGAAUGUGGGCUGCAAUUUGUUGCUCCCGUUCUAUAGAGGUAUGAGAAUAGGCUGCAUUACAUAUUCGUGUCAGAGUAAAAUCUGUACUUUAGCAGCUCGUUACCUUUUGCCGUUUCCCUCUACUCAUAGGUUUUAAUGACCAAAGGGACCACUACAAUCAUCUUGUCUGACCUCCUGGCUAGCACAGGCCAUAGAUUUCACGUAGUAAUCCUGGAACAAGCCUAUAACUUCCAGCUGAACUAGAGCAUAAAAAGUACAACAAAAUUCAUAACUUGUCCAAGAUCUAUUGCCAGAUUUUAACUUCAGCAUCUUACGUAUGAGGGAUGAACUGCUACUUCACAAGGCAGUUCUGUCCUAACUGUUCAAAACCUUUUGGAGAUGAGCCACGUGCAGCAACAAUCAUAUCACUUCUCUUAGAAAUAAGGGGUUUUAUUGUUUAAGGUUUUUUGGGGGCCGGGAAGGAGGUUGGUAACCCUAACCGAAUCAAGGCUUUUAAAACAUUUUGUUAAAUGACAGCUCCGUCUAUGCAAUUGAUUCUUUUCUUUUAAUUUUGGUGCCAUAUAGGCUUGUUUAUUACUGUGUUCGUUUCCUGAAACAUGGUGGUUCUAAUCUGCUUAAGGGCUCUUCUAACUCGUCUAGAAACUAUUUCCCUUGGUCUUCCAGCAGUCUCAUUUUCUUGACAAUGUUUUGGUUUUCCUCCUUCUGUUUUGUUUCAGGUUACAUUUCAAUUCUACACAUCUGAGGUGGUUUCAUAUGUUUUUUUUCAGUGGCAGGUGUUUAAUUUAGGAGAAAACCGACUUCAUCUGACUACUCUGGAAUUUUACAGCUCAAUUAGUAGUGAUUUCUAAUAACUGUGUUAUAUAGGCAUUAGUAACUACUGCUUUCUGUAAUGGCUUUACAAUUUAAAUUGCGUAUAAUGUUUUUUUACUUUAUUAUGAAAAAUAUUACCUUCCCCCUACUGACUGUAUUCAAUUAUCUGAAAUUUAACAUCCUCUUAUUAAAUACUUGAGUGUGUCAGAUGUUUAAUAUGUUGGGUUCCCAAAGAAAUGAGUUCUCUGUGGGUUUAGUGUUCUUUCCAGCACUCAAAUACUUUACUGUAUUUUAUAACUUUGAAGCAUUCUGUUUAAACUACCUUUGUAUAAAUUACCAGUCGUGACUAUUUCACCAUGAGGAAAAUAUUCAGGUUGAUCUUUAAGGGGAAAUAUGAAGAUAGGUUGGGACUAGAAGGAGCAAUAAAAAGCUUUUCUGUCUAAUGAACAUCUGAGCUUUCUGGAACGAUUUCUCUUCUCAGAGCGGAGAUGUAAGGUUGAAACCUUUGAACGGUUUGUGAACUGAAUAUGAAAAAACAUGCGUUAGAUUAAUCAAAAUAUUUCAUGGAAAUAUUGAUGUUUUACGUUUAGAACAAGGAUUAAAAAUGCCCUGCAAUUUUGAAGUCUAAAUGAAGAAAUCCAUGUUAUUAAAUGUCAAAAUAUGACUUUUCAGCAGUGUAAGGCUUUUUUUUUUUUUUAUUUCCCCAAGAACAGAAAAUUCAUCAUAAAACCAUUUCCCCCAAAAGAUCUCAAUCUUGGAGAUUUUUUGGUGAUGUUUUGAUGUCAUCUACUACAAUGCAUGUGCAGUUCUUCCUGUAAUCAAAUAGUUUAUAUAGUCAAUGAGUUAAAUACUGUUUAAAAAAAAUAAAGCGUUAGACGAUGUCUUUACAGAAGUAAUGUAAUAGUAGGUGGGGAAUUGUUUCAGCCAUGAAGAAUUUCUCUUGAAGAGGGAAAACAUUGCUAGGAGGAAUUUCUGAAGCUUUUUUUCUAAAACAGCAUGCAGUGCUCGAUUUAGCGCAGGAAUUGGCUCAUCAGAUGACUUAGCUAGGCAGGUGCUUAUGUGCUGCUGAACAGAGGGCCUUGCCAUGGUCUUAUCUUCCUUCAUCCUUUUGCAGAGAAGCAGUAAGGAUUUUCUUGGUUUCCCAGGUGUGUUGCAGCUGGCCCCAAUGCAACACGCCUUGAUGUUAGGGGAAAUGCUCAUUGUGUUCUGUCUUGCACCUGCAAACAUGCGAAUCAUGACAAUCUGAGACUAAAUGUUUAGAGCAUCCAGUGUCUGGCAUGCAAUUACAUAUUUAUGCAGGACACUUCUACUGUGCAUUUCAAUAACACUUCAAUAUUUUAUUGAUUCAGAGGUAAUGUGUGUCUGAAAAGCUGUAAGCUGUAUGUUGUAUAUUAAUUGACAAUAUAACAUCUGAAUUCAGAAAUACCUGGCAUGAAUAAAAUGUGAA